AGUGAACGCUGGCGGUAGGCCUAACACAUGCAAGUCGAACGGCAGCACAGUAAGAGCUUGCUCUUACGGGUGGCGAGUGGCGGACGGGUGAGGAAUACAUCGGAAUCUACUUUUUCGUGGGGGAUAACGUAGGGAAACUUACGCUAAUACCGCAUACGACCUACGGGUGAAAGCAGGGGAUCUUCGGACCUUGCGCGAUUGAAUGAGCCGAUGUCGGAUUAGCUAGUUGGCGGGGUAAAGGCCCACCAAGGCGACGAUCCGUAGCUGGUCUGAGAGGAUGAUCAGCCACACUGGAACUGAGACACGGUCCAGACUCCUACGGGAGGCAGCAGUGGGGAAUAUUGGACAAUGGGCGCAAGCCUGAUCCAGCCAUACCGCGUGGGUGAUGAAGGCCUUCGGGUUGUAAAGCCCUUUUAUUGGGAAAGAAAAGCAGCAGGUUAAUACCCCGCUGUUCUGACGGUACCCAAAGAAUAAGCACCGGCUAACUUCGUG
rnacentral:rRNA from 1 species